UACGUAGGGUGCAGGCGUUAAUCGGAAUUACUGGGCGUAAAGCGUGCGCAGGCGGUUUCUUAAGUCAGAUGUGAAAGCCCCGGGCUUAACCUGGGAACUGCGUUUGAAACUGGGAGACUCGAGUGUGGCAGAGGGGGGUGGAAUUCCACGUGUAGCAGUGAAAUGCGUAGAUAUGUGGAGGAACACCGAUGGCGAGGGCAGCCCCCUGGGUCAACACUGACGCUCAUGCACGAAAGCGUGGGGAGCAAACGGG
rnacentral:rRNA from 1 species